UGAUAGUGAUGAGUGGCAGUUGUAGCUUAAAUGACACCUGAGGAGGAGGGUGGGCUUUGGGCUAACAACCCAACCGCACAACAAAACUGCUACGCAAACAACAAUGGAAUCUUCGGAGAAGGGCAGAUAAAGGUUAAAAGAGUCCCUGUAGGCAGCAUUAGAGGAUAAGGACCAGCAGUUGAUGGCCAAACAUAACCAAAAGUUGGACCCUCCUCCCCCUCCAUCACCUGCAACAAAACAGCCUCAGCCAUCUGUUCGAUGUAUCAGUCUACAGAACAAAAGAGAAAUGGAAAUAGGAAAAAAUAACAAUGGGCAACCACCCAAAUUCAUUUUUGGUUUGAUUAAACAUGUAUGUGUUUAGUGUAUUAAAAUGCAGUUAUACUUUGUGUGUGUGUGUGUGUGUGUGUGUGUUUCAAUGUUUAAAGUAAAAAAAAAAAUGUUUAUCUCUUA